rnacentral:lncRNA from 1 species
CCAUCCAACUAUGAGGUCAUAGACAGACACAUGAGACAGAACAAGGUCUUCACAGUACUGUAGUGACUUUGGAACCUCCUGCUAGUGGACGCCCAUGGCACCCUACCAUAUCUGUUUUCAGGAGCUUUGGGUUUCAGGCUGCAUCUAAGAGUACUAGGAUAAAAUGA